GACGAACGCUGGCGGCGUGCCUAAUACAUGCAAGUUGAGCGCUGAAGGUUGGUACUUGUACCAACUGGAUGAGCAGCGAACGGGUGAGUAACGCGUGGGGAAUCUGCCUUUGAGCGGGGGACAACAUUUGGAAACGAAUGCUAAUACCGCAUAAAAACUUUAAACACAAGUUUUAAGUUUGAAAGAUGCAAUUGCAUCACUCAAAGAUGAUCCCGCGUUGUAUUAGCUAGUUGGUGAGGUAAAGGCUCACCAAGGCGAUGAUACAUAGCCGACCUGAGAGGGUGAUCGGCCACCUUGGGACUGGGACAAGGCCCAAACUUCUACGGGAGGCAGCAGUAGGGAAUCGUCGGCCAUGGACGAAAGUCUGACCGAGCAACGCCGCGUGAGUGAAGAAGGUUUUCGGAUCGUAAAACUCUGUUGGUAGAGAAGAACGUUGGUGAGAGUGGAAAGCUCAUCAAGUGACGGUAACUACACAGAAAGGGACGGCUAACUACGUG
rnacentral:rRNA from 1 species